rnacentral:rRNA from 1 species
UACAGAGGUCUCAAGCGUUGGUCGGAUUCAUUGGGCGUAAAGGGUGCGUAGGCGGCGCGGUAAGUCGGAUGUGAAAUCUCGGAGCUUAACUCCGAAACUGUAUUCGAUACUGCCGUGCUUGAGGACUGGAGAGGAGACUGGAAUUUACGGUGUAGCGGUGAAAUGCGUAGAUAUCGUAAGGAAGACCAGUGGCGAAGGCGGGUCUCUGGACAGUUCCUGACGCUGAGGCACGAAGGCCAGGGGAGCAAACGGG